UUUGGGUUUAUCUUAUAAAUUAUAAAUAUAUUUUGAAGGUUAAAUUGGAUACAUUUUUAAGUUGGAAACUUACUUAUAUAAUUUUGGAAGUGUUAGGAUUAAAUGUGAUAUUAAAAAGAGAGUUGAAGGACUUAGUUUGCAAUUAUGGGUUAGUGGACCAUUUAAUUCAACCAUUUGACCCAUUCUCUCUCAAUUUCACACCAAAACACACACAUAGAGUAACAAGAGAAGCAGAGACCGGCAGUGAAGAAGAAGAAAGGAAAAGAAGAAAGGAAAAAGAAGAAGAAAAGAGGUGAUAUUUGUACGAAUUGGAGCUCUAGUUUGGGGAUUUCUUCAUUUCCAAUUCAGCUAGGUGGUGGCGAGGAAAUUGGAAACGUUUAUCAGCCAAUCUAGCUUGUAGCUCCUACCUUGAGACCGUCGAUUUUGAGACACUGGGAAAAGCCUGCUGAAGCGAAAGAGACCGUUUCAUAGUAUGUAAUGUAUAGUUGGGGAACUCAUGUUUAUUAAGUACUUGUCUAAUAUUUGGUGUGUCAUGCACUUCGUAGAAAGGUUGGUAAUUGAUGUAAUGCUUGCAUGUUGACAUGAUGAUGUUGUAGAAGCACUCAGUCGAAUGUUGUUAUAUUUUGUUGUAGUUGUGGUGGUAUUAAAGGAA